rnacentral:rRNA from 1 species
UACAGAGGUCUCGAGCGUUAGGCGGAAUCACUGGGCUUAAAGCGUGUGUAGGUGGAUGCCUAAGUACCUUGUGAAAUCCCACAGCUUAACUGUGGAACUGCUUGGUAUACUGGGUGUCUUGAGUCACUCAGGGGCGAGCGGAACAAAUGGUGGAGCGGUGAAAUGCGUAGAUAUCAUUUGGAACGCCAAUGGUGAAAACAGCUCGCUGGGGGUGUACUGACACUGAGACACGAAAGCCAGGGGAGCGAACGGG